ensembl:misc_RNA Metazoa_SRP Metazoan signal recognition particle RNA
GCCAGGUAUGUUGAUGCAGGCCUGUAGUCCCAGCUACUUGGGAGGCUGAAGUGGGAGGAUUGCUUGAGCCCAUGAGUUCAAGACUGCAGUGAGCUGUAAUCAUGCCACUGCACUCCAGCCUGGGCAACAGAGUGAGCCCCUGUUUCUU